ACAAGCGAGGAGCAUGUGGUUUAAUUCGAUGAUACGCGAGGAACCUUACCAGGCCUUGACAUGCAGAGAACUUUCCAGAGAUGGAUUGGUGCCUUCGGGAACUCUGACACAGGUGCUGCAUGGCUGUCGUCAGCUCGUGUCGUGAGAUGUUGGGUUAAGUCCCAUAACGAGCGCAACCCCUACCUUUAGUUGCCAUCAGGUUAAGCUGGGGACUCUAAAGGAACUGCCUACGCAAGUAGUGAGGAAGGCGGGGAUGACGUCAAAUCAGCACGGCCCUUACGUCCAGGGCUACACACGUGCUACAAUGGCCGAUACAGAGGGCAGCUACCUGGUGACAGGAUGCAAAUCUCCAAAGUCGGUCUCAGUUCGGAUCGGAGUCUGCAACCCGACUCCGUGAAGUUGGAUUCGCUAGUAAUCGCGCAUCAGCCAUGGCGCGGUGAAUACGUUCCCGGGCCUU
rnacentral:rRNA from 1 species